rnacentral:misc_RNA from 1 species
GGUACAUAUUCAACAAAAUUCUUGUUACAUUGCCUCUUGCAGAAAUUUUCUUAACCAAAUAAACAAAAAGGUCAAAGUAUAAUACCAGAGCUCAAUUAAAAUUCAAGAAUUUUUCAUUCCAAUGAGUCUUUGGGUAUUGUAAGGCCGAAUUUGCACAUAUGAAUCAAAGUGAUAUGGUGCUAAAGCUAAUAAGGGAACUUCUAUGCAACAGAGCAAGAGAAAGGUCUCCCAAAUAAAUAUAACCAAAUCCUCACGCAUUUAUCCCAUAGUGGUAAUUUUCAUCUGAGUACUUAUGUUAACAGAAUCUGAAGCAUUAAUUUGGUGUAGAACAAAGGAACUGUUUUAAUUUGCCAACUACUUCAUCAAGUUCCAACGGGGAAUAGCAACAACCCAUAAUAGUCUCAAAGGUGGGGUUUGGGGAGGGUAGAGUGUACGCAAAUCUUACCCUUACCCCUACCAAGG